rnacentral:rRNA from 1 species
GUGGGGAAUAUUGGACAAUGGGCGAAAGCCUGAUCCAGCCAUGCCGCGUGUGUGAAGAAGGUCUUCGGAUUGUAAAGCACUUUAAGUUGGGAGGAAGGGCAGUAAGUUAAUACCUUGCUGUUUUGACGUUACCGACAGAAUAAGCACCGGCUAACUUCGUGCCAGCAGCCGCGGUAAUACGAAGGGUGCAAGCGUUAAUCGGAAUUACUGGGCGUAAAGCGCGCGUAGGUGGUUUUGUAAGUUGGAGGUGAAAUCCCCGGGCUCAACCUGGGAGGUGCCUCCAAAACUGCAUGACUAGAGUACGGUAGAGGGUAGUGGAAUUUCCUGUGUAGCGGUGAAAUGCGUAGAUAUAGGAAGGAACACCAGUGGCGAAGGCGACUACCUGGACUGAUACUGACACUGAGGUGCGAAAGCGUGGGGAGCAAACAGGAUUAGAAACCCGGGUAUCC